AUUCAGUACCAAGUGAUCAGGAACUAGAGGUGAUUCUUAGUUACCUAACUGUGUGACUCUCUGUGUAUUAUAAGCAUUUUGUAUAAUAUGUGUUGGCAGUUUUUAAAUUCUAGCCAAGCUCCACAGCACUUCUCUCUUCACACAUUAAUGUGUGCUGUGGGACUCAAAUUUUCAUUUCAGUGUCAAGCUAAAAUAAGAUGGCAAAUCAUAUAAUCCUCAAAUUUUGUUAUGCUUUUUUUUUGCUUUUUUCUUUUCUUUUUUUUUUUUUUUUUUUGAAAUAGAGUCUUGCUCUGUCACCUAGGCUGGAGUGCAAUGGCACGAUUCGGCUCACUGCUACCUCCACCUCCCGGGUUCAAGCAGUUCUCCUGCCUCAGCAUCCCGAGUAGCUGAGAUUACAGACGGAGUCUCAUUGCCCAGGCUGAAGUACAGUGGUGCAAUCUCGGCUCACUGCAACCCCCACCUCCCAGGUUCAAGCGAUUCUCCUGCCUCAGCCUCCAGAGUAGCUGGGAUUAUAGGCGAAUGCCACCACACCCUGCUAAUUUUUGUAUUUUUAGAAGAAACCAGGUUUCACCAUGUUGGUCAGGCUGGUCUUGAAUUCCUGACCUUGUGAUCUGCCCGCCUCAGCCUCCCAAAUUAAAUGCUUUUUACAUGAUCCUAUUUUGAAAUAUUUAUGUAUGACUUGACUGAGAUGGCUGACCUCAUAUGUCAUUUCUGAGACUAAACAUUACUUCCUUA